AUGAAACUUCUACCGUUCUUCUUCGCUUUCUUUUUUACCUUCCCCUGAACGGGAGGCGUUUCGUCAUGUAAGAAAGCAAGCGAAGACGAACUAACAGGCCUCCCAAACCGGGGGGCCUUUUUUAU
rnacentral:ncRNA from 1 species